rnacentral:rRNA from 1 species
AUUGAACGCUGGCGGCAUGCCUUACACAUGCAAGUCGAACGGUAACGGGCCUUCGGGUGCCGACGAGCGGCGGACGGGCGAGUAAUACAUCGGAACGUGCCCGAUCGUGGGGGAUAACGAGGCGAAAGCUUUGCUAAUACCGCAUACGAUCUACGGAUGAAAGCCGGGGACCGCAAGGCCUUGCGCGGGCGGAGCGGCCGAUGGCAGAUGAGGUAGUUGGUGGGAUAAAAGCUUACCAAGCCGACGAUCUGUAGCUGGUCUGAGAGGAUGAUCAGCCACACUGGGACUGAGACACGGCCCAGACUCCUACGGGAGGCAGCAGUGGGGAAUUUUGGACAAUGGGCGCAAGCCUGAUCCAGCCAUGCCGCGUGCAGGAUGAAGGCCUUCGGGUUGUAAACUGCUUUUGUACGGAACGAAAAGCCUUCUUUUAAUACAGGAGGGUCAUGACGGUACCGUAAGAAUAAGUACCGGCUAACUACGUG